rnacentral:rRNA from 2 species
AAGUCGUAACAAGCGGAAGGUAGGUGAACGAAUAGAAGGAUCAUCAUUGAAUAAACUUGAACAGGUUGUUGCUGGCCCUGGUGGGCGGGGUAAGUGCAGUCUUGUCAUAUUUAUUUCUCCAAUGCACCUCAUGUAGUCGAUCGAGGACAUUGAGUUGAUUUGAAUUGAGUUGGGACUGCUGUGUUUUAAGUUGGGCCUUCAGGAUCUUUCAGGUGGUUUUCAUCUUCACAACAUAUUGAAUUUGUAUAGAAUGGAGACUCGGGUCCUUUUUGUACCUAUAAAGUUAUAUAUACAACUUUCAGCAACGGAUCUCUUGGCUCUCGCAUCGAUGAAGAACGCAGCGAAAUGCGAUAAGUAAUGUGAAUUGCAGAAUUCAGUGAAUCAUCGAAUCUUUGAACGCAUCUUGCGCUCCUUGGUAUUCCGAGGAGCAUGCCUGUUUGAGUGUCAUUCAAGUUCCUCAACCACAUUGAUUUUACUUUUCGGUGUGGCUUGGAUGUGGAUUUGCAGGCCUUUUGGAAAACGGGAGGUCUGCUUCUCUGAAAUGUAUUAGCGGAGUAUCUGAGCAGAAAAAGAUCCGGGGGGAAUAAUUAAUUUAUCCUUUAGUAAAAUUGUGCCAGGAAACGGCUUAUAACGGAUGAU